GAUCGAAUCUGUGUCUUGAAAUGAGGUGAAAAUUAUAAAAAUCCCCAGAUAUAGGUUGUGUUCCGAAAGUUGUGUCGAAAAUAUUCUGACGGCCCUGCAGCUUAGAGUUAUUUGGAUGUGGUUCCUGAACGUAGUCCAGAAGGCUAUCGACUUAGAAUUAUGCCAAGUGUGGAGUAAUGAGUUGGCAAAGGAAGACAAAGGCGGACGGGCA